rnacentral:rRNA from 1 species
UGAGGAAUAUUGGUCAAUGGGCGAGAGCCUGAACCAGCCAAGUCGCGUGAAGGAUGACUGUCUUAUGGAUUGUAAACUUCUUUUAUACGGGAAUAACAAGAGCCACGUGUGGCUCCCUGCAUGUACCGUAUGAAUAAGCAUCGGCUAACUCCGUGCCAGCAGCCGCGGUAAUACGGAGGAUGCGAGCGUUAUCCGGAUUUAUUGGGUUUAAAGGGUGCGUAGGCGGCCUGUUAAGUCAGCGGUGAAAUCUAGGAGCUUAACUCCUAAAUUGCCAUUGAAACUGGCGGGCUUGAGUGUAGAUGAGGUAGGCGGAAUGCGUGGUGUAGCGGUGGAAUGCAUAGAUAUCACGCAGAACUCCAAUUGCGAAGGCAGCUUACUAAGGUACAACUGACGCUGAAGCACGAAAGCGUGGGUAUCAAACAGGAUUAGAUACCCUGGUAGUCCACGCAGUAAACGAUGAUAACUGGGCGUAUGCGAUAUACAGUAUGCUCCUAAGCGAAAGCGUUGAGUUAUCCACCUGGGGAGUACGCCGGCAACGGUG